CCCCUUGGAAUCUUCUGCCUAGGUGAGAAUGCAGAGUCUACUCAUGUCUUAGUGAAAUCAAGAAUCAGCCUGGCUGGUUUCCACCCAACGUCUCAUCUUCAAAAGAAGCCAGGGAGUGCCAGAUUGCUGUCAGAUCCAAAUAGGCCAGAUAAGUGUCUGGGUCAGAUUCUGGCCCACAGAGGGAGAAGUGGAUCAGAGGACGGAGAGAAGACUUAAGGAUCUUCUCACCAGUGAAUGAGAAGGUUCCAGGAACCUGUGAGACUAUUACAGUACUAGUAUGCAAGCUGGGUGGAGCCAGAGGGACAUGCGAGCAGGGCCCGCCCCGGAGCACUAGUGGCCACUCACAGGAAGGUUUGCUCAUUUGUAGCCGCUGAGAUUGAACUGCUCACCAAAGUCAUGGAGAAGAUCCAACAGUUAGAGCUUCAGAUGCUCCUGUUUGGACAUGAUGGUCAACCCCAGAAUCCUGUCACUGUAAAUGUUGUGGAUGAUGUGUGCCCGACCUGUGAUAGAACCUUCUGAGCUUAUGUUGGUCUGAUCAGCCACAGUUGGACACACUAUACCUUGACUCCAACAUAGUGAUGUCAUUUU